rnacentral:rRNA from 1 species
GCAUGCCUUACACUUGCAAGUCGAACGGCAGCACGGGGGCAACCCUGGUGGCGAGUGGCGAACGGGUGAGUAAUACAUCGGAAUGUACCCAGUAGUGGGGGAUAACUAGUCGAAAGAUUAGCUAAUACCGCAUACGCACUAUGGUGGAAAGCGGGGGAUCGCAAGACCUCGCGCUAUUGGAGCAGCCGAUGUCCGAUUAGGUAGUUGGUGGGGUAAAGGCCUACCAAGCCUGCGAUCGGUAGCUGGUCUGAGAGGACGACCAGUCACACUGGGACUGAGACACGGCCCAGACUCCUACGGGAGGCAGCAGUGGGGAAUUUUGGACAAUGGGGGAAACCCUGAUCCAGCAAUGCCGCGUGUGUGACGAAGGCCUUCGGGUUGUAAAGCACUUUUGGCGGGAACGAAACGGCGCUUUCUAAUACAGAGCGCUAAUGACGGUACCCGCAGAAUAAGCACCGGCUAACUACGUGCCAGCAGCCGCGGUAAUACGUAGGGUGCAAGCGUUAAUCGGAAUUACUGGGCGUAAAGCGUGCGCAGGCGGUUUCGUAAGACAGAUGUGAAGCCCGGGCUCACCUGGGAAG